rnacentral:misc_RNA from 1 species
GUAUUCCUAUAGAGGGAGUAACUGCCUGCUACAGCAGGAUUCAAAGUCGUCAUUUCGGAUUCGUCCCGGCUUUGCAGACACUAUUGUUUAGUGAGACUCUAUAGCUAGUU